GGAGAGAUGCCGGAGUCUGGUUGAUCGGGGCGGUCUCGAAAACCGUUGCACCCUUGCGGGUGCCGGGAGUUCGAAUCUCCCUCUCUCCACCA
rnacentral:tRNA from 1 species